rfam:Coriobacteriaceae bacterium EMTCatB1 DNA, scaffold1.
UUCAGUGGUUAUGGCGGAGGGGGUACACCCGAUCCCAUUCCGAACUCGGAAGUUAAGCCCUCCAGCGCCGAUGGUACUGCCCUGUAGAGGGUGGGAGAGUAGGUCGCCGCUGAAC